rnacentral:rRNA from 1 species
AGUGAACGCUGGCGGUAGGCCUAACACAUGCAAGUCGAACGGCAGCACAGUAAGAGCUUGCUCUUACGGGUGGCGAGUGGCGGACGGGUGAGGAAUACAUCGGAAUCUACUUUUUCGUGGGGGAUAACGUAGGGAAACUUACGCUAAUACCGCAUACGACCUACGGGUGAAAGCAGGGGAUCUUCGGACCUUGCGCGAUUGAAUGAGCCGAUGUCGGAUUAGCUAGUUGGCGGGGUAAAGGCCCACCAAGGCGACGAUCCGUAGCUGGUCUGAGAGGAUGAUCAGCCACAGUGGAACUGAGACACGGUCCAGACUCCUACGGGAGGCAGCAGUGGGGAAUAUUGGACGAUGGGCGCAAGCCUGAUCCAGCCAUACCGCGUGGGUGAAGAAGGCCUUCGGGUUGUAAAGCCCUUUUGUUGGGAAAGAAAAGCAGCAGGUUAAUACCCCGCUGUUCUGACGGUACCCAAAGAAUAAGCACCGGCUAACUUCGUG